AUUGAACGCUGGCGGAAUGCUUUACACAUGCAAGUCGAGCGGCAGCGCGGGGCAACCUGGCGGCGAGCGGCGAACGGGUGAGUAAUACAUCGGAACGUACCCAGUUGUGGGGGAUAGCCCGGCGAAAGCCGGAUUAAUACCGCAUACGACCUGAGGGUGAAAGGGGGGGAUCGCAAGACCUCUCGCAGUUGGAGCGGCCGAUGGCGGAUUAGCUAGUUGGUGAGGUAAAGGCUCACCAAGGCGACGAUCCGUAGCGGGUCUGAGAGGACGACCCGCCACACUGGAACUGAGACACGGUCCAGACUCCUACGGGAGGCAGCAGUGGGGAAUUUUGGACAAUGGGGGCAACCCUGAUCCAGCCAUUCCGCGUGAGUGAAGAAGGCCUUCGGGUUGUAAAGCUCUUUCGGCAGGAACGAAACGGUCUUUUCUAAUACAAGAGGCUAAUGACGGUACCUGAAGAAGAAGCACCGGCUAACUACGUGCCAGCCGCCGCCGUAAGAC
rnacentral:rRNA from 1 species